rnacentral:rRNA from 1 species
UGGGGAAUUUUGGACAAUGGGCGAAAGCCUGAUCCAGCAAUGCCGCGUGUGUGAAGAAGGCCUUCGGGUUGUAAAGCACUUUUGUCCGGAAAGAAAAUCCUUGGCUCUAAUACAGUCGGGGGAUGACGGUACCGGAAGAAUAAGCACCGGCUAACUACGUGCCAGCAGCCGCGGUAAUACGUAGGGUGCAAGCGUUAAUCGGAAUUACUGGGCGUAAAGCGUGCGCAGGCGGUUUGCUAAGACCGAUGUGAAAUCCCCGGGCUCAACCUGGGAACUGCAUUGGUGACUGGCAGGCUAGAGUAUGGCAGAGGGGGGUAGAAUUCCACGUGUAGCAGUGAAAUGCGUAGAGAUGUGGAGGAAUACCGAUGGCGAAGGCAGCCCCCUGGGCCAAUACUGACGCUCAUGCACGAAAAGCGUGGGGAGCAAAACAGGAUUAGAUACCCUGGUAGUCCACGCCCUAAAACGAUGUCAACUAGUUGUU